UGAUUCCGUAGCUCAGCUGGGAGAGCGCCACCUUGACAGGGUGGAGGUCGUUGGUUCGAGCCCAAUCGGAAUCAUCCA
rnacentral:tRNA from 1 species